UAAUUCAUAUUUAAACCAAGGAGCCGAGGCUAGUGUUUAUUAUAUAUUUAAAUAAGACAACAUUUAGAUAUAAAGUAGUUAGCGCUUGUAUCUCGACUGAAGUGGACCUGUGCUUGAUUUAAUUAAAAUGAAAUUUCUACUACUCUGCUUGCUUGCCGCGUAUUGCUACGCCGAUAACUCUAGUGAAUCCUUAAUAUCAAAAAUUCAAGAUCAUCAAAAGACACUUCGUGUUUGGGAAGAAGACAACUCCCGGUUAUUGGCGUCCAUCACCGAAAAACAAAAGAAAUACGACAAUGCCAAGAAAAACGAAGUUGGAUUGUUACAAACUGUCGACUAUUUGGUUAAAACAAACAUGGAAAUGUUAGAAAACGUUUUAACUGAACUAAAGAAGAUACGAAUCAACCUUAACGAGGAUGGACAUAUGGAAAAUAAAUACGACAUAGGAGAAGAUGCUUUGUCUAAUAAGUAUCCAACAGACUCUGAUACCCUAACACUUGAGUGGCUUAACUAUAUGAAGGAAAAUGAUGGAAAGUGAACCAUAUGGACAGAUAAUUACGGACAGAUAAAUAUAUUUAAUAUAGAUACUGAGAAUAGAGAAUAUGGAUACUGUUUCUAUUUCAUGAUUGAUUUUUGAAGUUAAAUAAAAGAAAUAUAUUAUAUUAGAAAUAUUUAUAGCCUAUAAUUUCAUUAUUCAAAAAAUCUACUUGCGUUAAUAUAAAUAAUAUAAAAUGGAAAAAAGUGCGUACGUACAAAGUACACAUACACAUAUUCAUACUGUUUACACACUGUGCACGUGCUAAAGGUAAUACAAAUAAAUAAAAAAUGCGUUUACUGCAGAAGAUGUUAUGCGACCGAAUGGCCAUCUCAAAAUUUUUGUUUAGUAACAAUAGUGGUCUCAAAUAUAAUACAGGAAUAUGGGUAUGAGUAGCAUGUCCACUUUGAUUGUUUAAUUAAAUUUUUAAAAUCUUCAUUAAUUUGCAGUACAAUGAGAACAGGCAGAGGCAGAACUGGGAAAUAUCCUCGUAAAAGCUAACCUCCCGAAGUCUGCUGGGAACAUUGUACAGGAAAAAGUGCUAUUUUUUUAAAACAUUAUCAUUACCAGAUAACAGCUUUAGUAAAUAUCUCUCUAUUAGCAGAAUAAUAAAAAAAUUAUAAUAAAUGCCACUGUGUCUUCCGAGACAGUAGGGGUAGGUUAAACAACUGUAGUUGAAGUGGCUUCUGACUAUAAAUUUAUAUAGCAUACUUAAAACUUUGGGGUCUGCGCUCCAAAUCACACCAUUUAAACAUCUUAUAAUAUUUAAGCCCUUAAGAGAGUUAGUUAUAAUGUGAUUGAUGUGGAAAUGAAAACAGCAACAGUUUGUUAUCAUUGACAAAACCCCGAAAUUUAUGGUUAGGUACCACUGAAAUUGAAUGAUUAUUGUUACAUUAGAGGGAAAAUCUUUACUAAAAAUCAUGGCCUUGCUUUUGUUGGGGUUAAUCUGUAGAGCCAACCUGUCAUUAUAAUAUCUAUACAAUUGAUCUAAAGCAUUAUUUAUACUAUUUACAGCUCUAUCUACAUUAUGGUCGGAAGAAUUUAUUACAAGAUCAUCCGAAAAUUGUAAAAUAUUUACAUCUAUAUUUACAAAAUUAAGAAUUUGAAUUGUAUAUACAUUGUACAGUAAUGGAGAUAAUGUAGCCCCCUACAUAGUACCUUUGGAGACCCUUCUUGGACCAUGGAGAAUAUUAUUAUGCCUUAUAUACAAAAUUCUAUCUAUUAAAAAAUUAAAUAACCAAUGAUAAAGUGUGCCUGGUAUACCAGAGUCAGAAAGAACUUGAACCAACAUACCAAGAUCUGACAAGAGAAAAAUGAAGCUGUCAGCACAAUUUCAACCUCUCCAGAAGCCAUAUUGAACAUGUGGAAUGAUUUUGUUCGCCUCUACAUAACAUUCAAGACCAAGCUCGUUUUGGACGUUAUGAUAGUGGGAAUUAUGCUGAUAAUAUUAAAAUGCUGACUAUCUUUUGGCCAUGUUUCAUUAAGUAAACACAUAUCAACAUUUUGCUCAGCUAAAAAUUUAGACAAUAAGGCAUUUUUCCUAUGUAUACUUUAAAUAAUGUACUGAGCUAUACAUAACUGUAUAAAUUUCUGUAUUCGAUUUAUAUUCGGUCUAAGAAAGGACGACCUAAUCUCUGCGUUUUGUAAGCUAGGCUAGGCUGGUUACCGAUUCGUCAGCGACGUGAUGUUCUCCAUCUCCUAUAUUCCAUCCUGUUCAACCCUAAAACUCCUUCCUAUCUCAAAAAUGUUUCUAAAUUCUUGGGAGCCCUUAACUAUAGCUCCUCAUUUCUAGGCGAUUCCUUUAAGGUCUCUGCAGUUAGGCUAUGGAAUUCACUUCCCGUCCCUAUCCGCUUAGCUCCUUUCCUUUAAAUUUCUUCUGUACAAACAUUACCUGUCCACAUCGUAACCCUAACUGACGUCAGACUUAUCUAAAAUUAUCGUGAUUUAUGUGUCUUUUUACUUUCUAUUUUUAAUGUUUUCUUAUAAUUUUAAUCUUUUUAG